rnacentral:rRNA from 1 species
UACGUAGGUGGCAAGCGUUGUCCGGAUUUACUGGGCGUAAAGAGCGCGCAGGCGGUCGUUCAAGUCGAGUGUGAAAGCCCCCGGCUCAACUGGGGAGGGUCAUUCGAUACUGAUCGACUGGAAGGCAGGAGAGGGAAGCGGAAUUCCCGGUGUAGUGGUGAAAUGCGUAGAUAUCGGGAGGAACACCAGUGGCGAAGGCGGCUUCCUGGCCUGUUCUUGACGCUGAGGCGCGAAAGCUAGGGGGGCAAACGGG